AACUGGCAAACGGGAAUUUAAAAUAAAUCUUAGUCACAUAUAGUUUUUGAAAUUUUAGGAUAAAAUUUAUAUUUUAUAUCCACCAACUUUCACUAUAACCACAUAUUCUAAUUACAAAAAUUAACUUCCCACCGUUUAGAAUUUGAAUAAAAAAUAAAAUGAGGAACUAAAUAAUAGAUUGUUUAUGAGUGAGUAAGAUCAAAGAUGAUAUGAUGGUCGAUAGAUUGUUUGUUCAAGAAAACAGAUGAUGAGUAAUUGAGAUCAAAGAUGAUGUGAAAAUCCAAAUAAUAGAAUAAAUUUGUUUAUAUGCUUCAAUGAAUUGUUCCAGUUGCAUAAUAAGAUGAAAUGCCGGCAAUGUUCAACUUGCAUAUAUGAACCUUACAUCUACUGUGGGCAGUGUUAAGUUUAGUUGUUAAGGCAAUUGUGUUGGUUCUUUAUCUUCAUAUGUGUGCAAAGCAUAUAAGCUCAUUAUCUGUUUGUAUAUAUGCUUCAAAGAAUUGUGACGGUUGUCUUAGGUCCUAGGGAGAAAAACAUCUUUGAUAUUGGCUGGUCCUCCACCCGUGGAAUAUGAGAGAGCUUUCGAUGGAUUGCCCUGAGUUUGUAUGUAUGGAAAAUAAAAAUUGGUCUGAUGUAGAGAUUUUAUGGUGCUCACAUUUGUUGAACCUUGUACGUUGUGUGGAAAAGGCAUAAUUAAAUAUUAUGGUCAUAAAUGCUUUUCUGCAGGGAAUGGUGUUUGACCUGGAGAAGGGAUCCACCUUAUACAUUGAUCUACCAAAAUCUAACACGAGAUCUAAGCGCACCAGAACUUUUUUAUUCAGCUUUUCUGCUGCCUAUGUUUCUACUUUUCGUUAACUGUUGGUGGCCUUAAUGUGAACUUGUUGAUUAGGUGAUGAAAAACCUGGCUCGGAGAAGAGAAGUAAAGGAUCUGCUGCAUUUUCAAGGGGCAUUCAUGAUCCUGUGGUCUAGUUACCCUCAAAUACUCUAAAGAACUCUGUGGACUCGUUCUGUGGUCGUUGGUUGUCAAGCCAUCUGUUAAAUAUGUCAACAUGAGAGCUUUAGCUAUGAAACUAAUUCUUUGCGAAAGCAAGUGCCUCAUUUUAGCUAUGAGAACUCUGCGAAACUAAUUCUUUGCGAAAGCAAGAGCUAUUCCAGUCUUUUCAAGUUGCCAUGGAUUUAUAAAAUUGAAGAUGCAGAGCACAUAUGGAACUCCGGUUGCAUUUGCUGAUUUUCAGAUGUUUUUGGACAUACAAAUGUGGAUAUGUUUUUUUUUACUAGUACGGGAGGGCAUUGUUUUUAUAUCUCUAUCCGUAUGUAUAGUGGUUUGUACAAAUUAUUUUUUUGGUGUGGUAAAUAUCAGUUAAGUUGGCAUGGUAGAAAUUAACAUAGAACGUGAUACAAAAUAGUUUUGGGGCAGUACAAAAUAUAAUUUUUGUUGUGGUACAGAAGUUCUAGGUGUACAAUUAAUUUUGUUAUUCCCGUAUUAUGUAUGGAAUUAAAUUAUUGACGUUGGAUUAUACUUGGUUCUUAUGGAAUUUGUUAUAUAUAUAUAAUUGGACGUUCAAUAUUAAUUAUUUGGAUGGU